GUAAAAACUGCAUUAAAUGCAGUAACAUCAACACCAGGACCAGCAACUAGAAUUUUCCCACCCAAAUUCUCAGAUUUAUCUGAAAUAUCUUCAGAUCUGGAAAAGGGGGACAGAAAUUCAGAUUUAUCUGGUGUAGAACAGUUUGUGAAAACUGGUUCGAAAACAAAAACUCCAAGCAGUUUCUUGAAUCCUUUAGAUCUCUCAAUCUGUUGAUCAGAAAACUACACCGACGAGGAAUCAGAGGAUUCAUCAGAUGAAGAUUAUGAACCUAGUUACAUAAUGACGAUUAG